AACGAACGCUGGCGGCAGGCCUAACACAUGCAAGUCGAACGCCCUAGCAAUAGGGAGUGGCAGACGGGUGAGUAACGCGUGGGAACGUGCCUUUCGGUUCGGAAUAACUCAGGGAAACUUGAGCUAAUACCGGAUACGCCCUUCGGGGGAAAGAGUUAUUGCCGAAAGAUCGGCCCGCGUCCGAUUAGCUAGUUGGUGAGGUAAAGGCUCACCAAGGCGACGAUCGGUAGCUGGUCUGAGAGGAUGAUCAGCCACACUGGGACUGAGACGCGGCCCAGACUCCUACGGGGGGCAGCAGUGGGGAAUAUUGGACAAUGGGCGCAAGCCUGAUCCAGCCAUGCCGCGUGAGUGAUGAAGGCCCUAGGGUUGUAAAGCUCUUUCGCCAGGGACGAUAAUGACGGUACCUGGAUAAGAAGCCCCGGCUAACUUCGUGCCAGCCGCCGCCGUAA
rnacentral:rRNA from 1 species